ACCAACAAUAGAACUUAAUGACUGUAACAAGUUGAUAAAAGGUAGUUGUAGGGAAUUUUGCAAAAAUAUUAUUGCUUUUUAAAAAGUUCCGAUGAAACAUUAGAAGUUUGACUAUAGAAUUCAGAACUUUGGACCUACAAUUAAACAUAAACAUAUAGAUAGCUUGGUUAGAAGAAAAAAAAUCAUAUUACACUGAUUGGAAAAUCCAACUCAUCAUUGCUUUUCUGUUUAUCAAAGGCUGAAAAUAUCAAAUUUUAUUCGUAAUUUACAACAAAGUAGUUAUAUACAUAUGACUCAAAUUCAUAUCUUGCCCAAAUUCAUAGAUUAAAACACAAAAAGAAAAUAGAAAUUCUUACUCAUAUCAAACAUCCUAUUCAAUCAAUAACAAGCUGUCAAAUUCCAAAAUGUUUAAUAUCUUAAAAAAAUCAUAUUUCUGUUCAUCCUAAUUAACUAUUUAGAAAAAAUGGAAUACAUGAAAGACCUCUAAGUACCAGUAUCAGUAUCUUCACCCCUAAACCCCAAAGCCAGACUACACAAAUUGCAUCUAACAGCUUCUAGUUUCUCUGAUCUGCACUCAGCAUGAAAUUCAAUAUUCUUAACAUUAUAAAUUGUUUUGAACAUUCGUUAUCAUCUAACAUUUUCAUCUUACCUAUUUUUGCUACUUUCAGAGGACCAAAUUACAACAGAACAAACAAACAAAAGAACUCGAACUGCAGAAAUCUUACCUAUUUUUGCUACUUUCAGAGGACCAAAAGAACUCAAUGAUCUUACCUAUUUUUGCUACUCAGUUCAGGCACUUAAACAAACAAACAUUGGAAGAAAUCUCAUUUGCGGUUUUGGAGAUUAGAAAAGGACUCGAAAAUUACAACAGAACAAACAGAAAUCGAAGAUUAGCAGAGAAGAGAGAAAAACUUCGAACGGCAUGCUUUUCUUAAGCCUAACCAACAACAGAAAACACAUUUCAAUUCAACAUGCAAUACAAACAGAAUAAAAUUGGCUAAAACUAACCUAUUAGCAAAUCGGGGCACAAUGAAGAAGAACCUGAAAAAAGCAAAAAGGGAAACCGAUUAGAUAAAAACAAUAGAUCAUAUUUACCUCGAAAGUAUUGGUUUUCAUCUACAAUAGCAAAGUAUAUUAAUCUAUCGGGAAACAUAGACUAACCGAUGACGCAAAUCGGCAGAAACUGUGAGCAAAUCGACCGAAAUAGAAAAGAAAAUAAUCGGGGGAGCAAAUCGGCAGAAAAGGGAAGAAAAUAAAUACUGGGAAAAAGCAAUGAAACAAGGAAGCAAUUCGGAUGAAGGUGGGAAACGGAAGAGAAACAGAGGGGAUCGAUUAGGGGUAAAAGAGGGAAGGUUUAGGGUAAGGUCAUCUAAUCUGGAAAGAAGGGGAAUAGAAAUCGGUGCUUUUCACCGAUUAGGGAAGUAAGGGGAUACACGCGUAUUAGCAAUACGCUCAACCAAACGGCGUCUUAGAUUGGUAUUAGGUGGGCCCCACCGAUUAGGGGUGUAUUGGCUAAGCCAAUACACCAAACCAAACAAGCUCUAACAGUCGGCAGCAGAUCGACGCCACCAUUGUCCCACGUCGCAGCAACUAUCUCCAUGCACGAACGCACAGCAACUGCCCACGUCGCGCACGCCUCUUCCAAUACCCACCUACAACAAAAUCAAAUCACGAACCACAUCACAACGGAUUUUUUUUUAUUGUUGUUUUGGGGUAUUAAAAAGGGAUUUGUAAAACCGAUUUGGGGGUAGGAAAUUUGUAUUACAAAAAACCCAUCGAAAAUACAAAGACAAAAAAGCAAAAAUUUUGUAUGAAAAUUAACAGGAAAAUAAACGAAAAAACAUUUUUGAAGGUGGGAUUUUGUCUUCUUUCUCAGUUCUUUUACUGUUGUUUUUUAAUUUACCUUGUUCUUUUCUUUUGCUUCUUUUUUUAAAAAAAAAACAACAAAGAUAAACGAAAAAGGAGAAAGAAAGGAGGACUUACCGUCGUGAGAGUCGUCGGAGGGCGUCCUCGCUUCGUCGAAGUCUGAAACGGCAGAGGGGGGGCUGAGUCUGCUGUUGUGUUUUCAAACAAAAAGAAAACUGACGUAGUUUUGUUUUAAAACAA
rnacentral:lncRNA from 1 species